rnacentral:rRNA from 1 species
UGGUAAUAAGCCUUUCUUAUGUUUACUAAAAACGCUUCAAUUAUAGAAUGUUUACUGUGUAUAACACAAUUAUAUACAACUUUCAGCAACGGAUCUCUUGGCUCUCGCAUCGAUGAAAAACGCACCGAAAUGCGAUAAGUAAUGUGAAUUGCAGAAUUCAGUGAAUCAUCGAAUCUUUGAACGCACCUUGCACUCCUUGGUAUUCCGAGGAGUAUGCCUGUUUGAGUCUCAUGGAAUUCUCAACCCCUAAAUUUUGUAAUGAAGUUUAGUGGGCUUGGACUUGGAGGGUUGUGUCGGCUUCUAGUCGACUCCUCUGAAAUGUAUUAGCGUGAAUCUUACGGAUCGCCUUCAGUGUGAUAAUUAUCUGCGCUGUGGUGUUGAAGUAUUUAUUAGUUUCAUGCUUAUAAUCGUCUCUUACCGAGACAAUUUAUGACAAUCUGAGCUCAAAUCAGGUAGGACUA